rnacentral:rRNA from 1 species
GUGUCAGCAGCCGCGGUAAUACGUAGGGGGCAAGCGUUGUCCGGAUUUAUUGGGCGUAAAGCGCACGCAGGCGGUCUUGUAAGUUUCGAGUGACAGGUGGUGGCUUAACUGCCACAGGCCUUGGAAAACUGCAAGACUUGAGGACUUCAGAGGGAUGCGGAAUUCCAGGUGGAGCGGUGAAAUGCGUAGAGAUCUGGAAGAACACCAAUGGCGAAGGCAGCAUCCUGGGAAGUAACUGACGCUCAGGUGCGAAAGCCAGGGGAGCGAACGGGAUUAGAUACCCCAGUAGUCC